CCUACGGGAGGCAGCAGUGGGGAAUAUUGGGCAAUGGGCGCAAGCCUGACCCAGCAACGCCGCGUGAAGGAAGAAGGCUUUCGGGUUGUAAACUUCUUUUCUGAGGGACGAAGAAAGUGACGGUACCCCAGGAGUAAGCCACGGCUAACUACGUGCCAGCAGCCGCGGUAAUACGUAGGUGGCAAGCGUUAUCCGGAUUUAUGGGGUGUAAAGGGCGUGUAGGCGGGAAAGCAAGUCAGAUGUGAAAACUCAGGGCUCAACGCUGAGCCUGCAUUUGAAACUGGUUUUCUUGAGUGCUGGAGAGGAAAUCGGAAUUCCGGGUGGAGCGGGGAAAUGCGUAGAUAUACGGAGGAACACCAGUGGCGAAGGCGGAUUGCUGGACAGUAACUGACGCUGAGGCGCGAAAGCGUGGGGAGCAAACAGGAUUAGAUACCCCAGUAGUC
rnacentral:rRNA from 1 species